UUGCUUCCAGGACUUCUCCAGAGGCAUGCACCGCCCAAAUGUGACGCCACCCCAGCUAAAACCUAUGAAUGGGCGCCGUCUCCCUCGGCCUUGUGGCAUCCGUGGCUUCCGGCUGCCACCGCGCGCUCCGGUAAGACACGGCUGGACGACGUUGGUCUCCGCCGCCGAGCAGCGGGUUCGUUGAUGGCUUCGCCAGCGCCUUCCACGCCGGCGGAUGGAUCCACGGGCCGUGGCGGCACCAGCGGAUUCUACUCAAUGCGGCGGGUUUGUUGAGUCAGGAAAAGUCACCUCUUGCUCAUUCUCCUUGUGGAACUGUAGCCUCUGAACGGGUGGUUCUUGGUAGUGUAGAUUAACCUGAAUAUUCUCCAACAAGCUUCAAGUGGUGUUAUGUAUCUGCCUCCAAGGUACAUCUUAAUCUCAUCGUUGGUCUUUGACAGUCCUGUUUCUGUAACUACUGCUGUUGCUUGGUCUUCUCCAUUGUGGAUGCCUUUGAAUAGGUAUUUGAUUGAUCUAGACCGGGUGAACCACUCCACAUUAAUAUGUGCUUGGAACUUGACCAGGAGAUCUUUGUUGUAUGGGACAACAAAUCCAUUGUUCAUCAUGACUCCCUCCUUUGUUAUUUGUCGUCCAUCAUCUCGUCUUCUGUAUAUCGGGAAGUCUUUUUCAUCAAUGGUAGUCUGAUCACAUAAACUUUUUGGGAAAUAUUUAGUGCAUCUAUGGUUCACCAUACAUGGUGACUUUGGAUUUGCCUCUCCACAUGGUCCAUGCAUCAUAAAUUUCUUGACGGCUUCAAAUGUUUCUGGAUCCUUGUCCUUUUCGGGGAUCUCAGCACAUAUCAUUUCAUCAAUUUCUGACGGCUUGAGGUAGUUCUCAUUUUUAGAAAGGAAGAUUAGUAUAUGGGCAUGUGGGAGUCCCCUCUUCUGGAAUUCUAUUGUAUAGAUAACUGCAUGUCGAUUAAAUGUGUUAGCAAAUGAACAACACUAUGAAAUUAUUAUAAACUUCUAUUACUAAUGAAUGAGGUUCCAGCACACUUACUUGCUUUAGUCUUUCCAAAAUGUUGUCUUUUUUUAAUAUCUGUCAUUAACUCCCUUAGUUUUAUCAUGAAUACUCGAACUACGAUAUCAGGACGUUCCCAUGGUUGCUGGUUGCCGGCUUCGUCUAGCAUACACUGGAUCUCUGGCCACUUAGGGUUGCACGUGAACGUUAAAACAAAUCUGGGUAUCCAGCCCAAUGACAAACUGCCAUUGCAUCUUGGUAGUUUUGCUCUUUGUGUCUGGGACUUCCUGGGAAACUUGCUGGGAGUACUAUCCUCCUCCCUACUUUCUCCGUUCUUGUAUCUCCUUUUCUGACUGCAUCUCUUAAUCCACCGAAAAGUUCUGUUCUUAGGGCUCCCUGAUUCUUCCUGAUCCAAUCAAGCCUAUGUUGUUCAAUGCAGGCAUAGACAUCAACCAGGAACUGCAUCGACAGAUUUCCACUCAUUAGCAUCAGCAUAGAUUGAUUCGAACGCUGUUGGAGUCGAUAUGCAUAGUAUUCCAACAUGGAGAUGUAUUUCUUGCUGUUGCUUAUGCCUUUCUCUUUGUAUUUUAUGCCGGGUCUAAAACCAUCUUCUCCAUAUGGGAAGAGCAAUGGGUACUGCAUGGCCAUAAAUUUUGGAUGGAUUUCAGAUACCCUUUUGGGUCUCAUAUCUUUGUACUCAAGAACAAUAUCGCGUCCAUAACUUCCUGUGGCUGGAUCUUUGACUAUCAAAGCAGCAACUUCUGAUGCUGAUGGUAUGUUGUCUUUCCUCCCAUCUUGUUCCCUAUUGCCAAGUAAUCGAAGAGUUAAAUUAUGGUAGUCACGAUUUUCAAAUCUGUCCCGUGCCAUGCGGAAUGACUGUGCCAGUGUAUUGUUCUCAUUGAGCAUUGUUAACAGGCCCAUGAUAAUACUUUCAUCUAACGGGGCACUGGAUUCACCAGAUCUUGACACUUCAACCCUAUUCUGGAUCUCAUUCUCUGUAUCAUAGAUGUACAGCUGUUGGAAGCGAGGCUUGUUGCCCUCUUCAGGUAGCAAAGUUCCUAUGUGGUGGUAGUUCUGGCCUUUCAGUCUAAAAACAUAAGGUCCACGCCCUUUGUUGACAUUUUUAUCUACCAUUCCUCCCAUUGAUGUGAACGCAAACAUGGAGUUGUACGACCUGAUAUUCUGUAGGUAGUUUGCUGCUCUUUCCCCCCAUCUCUUGUCAGUAAACUUGUAAGGUAGCUUGGUGGUUCUUUUAAUGGUGGCAAGGUAACCUUCCCUUGCAUGCAACAGAGGCCGAAGGAUGGUCCUGCGCCUCUACUAGUUUUUAUGUUCUCAGCGUGCCACAUAACUGCAUAGCAAUGUUUGCAGAUGCAUGUUGGCCCACCAAAGUUCCAUGCCUUGCUAGCACCAUUAUUGUCGUUGCUUCUUUCACUUCUAUUGAUCCUAGUACGCUUUCUGCUCCUCUGGAGUUGGAGCUGUUCUUUCCUUUUCAGUCUUGCUGUUUUUGCUAACUGUCUUAACCUUUUCAAUUUGACCAUCUGGUUGUCCAUCGGUGCACUGAUAACCACCUGAUGAUUCCCUUUCAUCUCUAUCAGUUUGAGUACGCUUUAUGCCCCUCUUGAAUUGAAGAUUUUCGUUUAUCCCCGUUCAAGAUAUUCUUAUUAACUCGGUUUUCCACUUUGCUUCAAUAAUUCCAUGUGUAUCCUGUACCCUUGAAUUCUCCUUUCUUCUGAUGGUUACCUGUUUACUGAUCCUUUUAUUUAUUUCUCUGAUCUUUUUGGUCUGCUUUCAGUUAAACUUGUGAAUCUUUCUUCAAGCGCGCUUCUAUUGCUCUCUUUCCAGGUUCCUAUUUUUUAUGUCAUCAUUGGGCAUCACUUUCCUAAAAAGUGACAAUAAUGCAAUGGAUCGUUAAAAGGAAACAAAAAUAUGCUAAAUAAGCAAAAAACAUCUAAUAUAUAUGCAUGUUAUAUAUUUGGGAUAAAAAAGUAGUUACCAAUAAUUUUGAGUAGCAUAAAUCAAAUCAAUAAUCUGAGUAGAGCAAUGAAAUGCUCUUUGGAAAAUAAUCAACAUUCAGCAGAAAAACUGCUGAUCUAUUAUUGAAGUCAUGAAUCUAGCACUGUACUUAAGUUGGAAGUUACCAGAAAACUAAAUUAGUGCGGAGGCUAACGUUUUGCCUAGUUGGGCUGAGUUAUUUUUGUUAGUCUUUCUGAUGCCUUUGACUGGUUUAGCUUCAGCCAUGUCCCACUACAGCACAGCGACGAUGGGUUUCCUAAGUCUUUGUGAUGCUAGCGACUAAGUAGCUUCAACCAUUUGUCUGAGUACAGCACAACAUUGAUGGGAGUCCAGAUCCUGUGGUCAGUGGGUACCAGGAGCACGAGAUCCCAGUCAUGCACGCCCAUAAACACUUGGAAGCGGGAUAUCUGACGAGCAAAGAUAGAGCAAGAUGACUUCAUGAGGGGAACAAUGUUUGUAAAUGGCAAAAACUCAAGCAUACAUACUGCUACCGCAUUGAUCCUUCGCCAAGCGCGCACGCCACACUGAAGGGGAUGACUGCAGACUUGAGGCAAUCUACCAGGAUGCAAGAGGAGUGUCUACUGUACUUAGCGGAGCAUGUCCAUCUCAUAGAGAUUCUCAGCUAG